AUUUGCGAAAACUCUUUAAUACUGCAAAAUACGAAUACAACACAUAAUUUUUUACUUGGACACUGCCAAACAAAUACAAAUUGACAAUAUAAUAGCAUUACAGUUGAUCGCUAACAAAAA